rfam:TPA: Bos taurus chromosome 13, whole genome shotgun sequence.
UCCCUGGUGGUCCAGUGGCUAAAACUCUGUGCUCCCAAUGCAGGAGGCCUGGGUUCAAUCCCUGGUCAGGGAA